rnacentral:lncRNA from 1 species
UGGUAAUCAGUAGGCGGAGGCCUCCACUGAAAAUCCUGGUUAGGUCCAACCAUUAAUGAACUAACUCGAUGACACUACCUAAUGUAUGAUCAGGCCCGAGGAAGGCUCGGCCAACCUAAUCACAAUUAGAUAGCUCAAAAAGCUAUCAUAUAAUGAAGGAUAAUUCCAGUAUUUAGAGGAACACCAGACGGAAGCGUCCUGCAUGUUCAACUGUAAUAUUGGACCCAUUAUUAUUCACCUUAAUGGGAGGCUAUGAUCUAGUUAUCUAUAUAACUUUAUCAUUUUAAGGACCUAAUAAUUUAGAGGAUUUUAAAUGAUAUGUAACACUGACCGAUAAUUCUAAAUCCUCCCACUGACUUCACCAAAUCAUAUAGAGGACUAGCUCUUAUUGGUCUAUUAGACACCUAAAUCAGUCACACUGAUUUUCCAUAAUGGCAUGGGUGAGUGCCAAGUCUCAAGGUACCUUAAUCAAAACUUGAUCGACCAAAUUGGCCAGGUAAGAGAGAUCAUGGGAGGGUUA